AUUGAACGCUGGCGGCAGGCUUAACACAUGCAAGUCGAGCGGAGCGAGGGUGCUUGCACCUUAGCUUAGCGGCGGACGGGUGAGUAAUGCUUAGGAAUCUGCCUAUUAGUGGGGGACAACAUUCCGAAAGGAAUGCUAAUACCGCAUACGCCCUACGGGGGAAAGCAGGGGAUCUUCGGACCUUGCGCUAAUAGAUGAGCCUAAGUCGGAUUAGCUAGUUGGUGGGGUAAGGGCCUACCAAGGCGACGAUCUGUAGCGGGUCUGAGAGGAUGAUCCGCCACACUGGGACUUAGACACGGCCCAGACUCCUACGGGAGGCAGCAGUGGGGAAUAUUGGACAAUGGGCGGAAGCCUGAUCCAGCCAUGCCGCGUGUGUGAAGAAGGCCUUUUGGUUGUAAAGCACUUUAAGCGAGGAGGGGGCUACUGGUACUAAUACUACUGGAUAGUGGACGUUACUCGCAGAAUAAGCACCGGCUAACUCUGUGCCAGCCGCCGCCGUAAGAC
rnacentral:rRNA from 1 species